rnacentral:rRNA from 1 species
UACGGAGGGAGCUAGCGUUGUUCGGAAUCACUGGGCGUAAAGCGCACGUAGGCGGAUGUGUCAGUCAGGGGUGAAAUCCCGGAGCUCAACUUCGGAACUGCCUUUGAUACAGCACGUCUUGAGUCCGAUAGAGGUGGGUGGAAUUCCUAGUGUAGAGGUGAAAUUCGUAGAUAUUAGGAAGAACACCGGUGGCGAAGGCGGCCCACUGGAUCGGUACUGACGCUGAGGUGCGAAAGCGUGGGGAGCAAACAGG